CAGCAGCCGCGGUAAUACGUAGGGUGCGAGCGUUAAUCGGAAUUACUGGGCGUAAAGCGUGCGCAGGCGGUUAUAUAAGACAGAUGUGAAAUCCCCGGGCUCAACCUGGGACCUGCAUUUGUGACUGUAUAGCUAGAGUACGGUAGAGGGGGAUGGAAUUCCGCGUGUAGCAGUGAAAUGCGUGGAUAUGCGGAGGAACACCGAUGGCGAAGGCAAUCCCCUGGACCUGUACUGACGCUCAUGCACGAAAGCGUGGGGAGCAAACAGGAUUAGAUACCCCAGUAGUCCCUGUCUCUUAUAA
rnacentral:rRNA from 1 species